GGCUUCAUAACUCAGUUGGUUAGAGUAUCAUGUUAACACUUCCAAACGUGAAACGGUUAAACCGUGAAAGUCCCCGGUUCGAGUCCGGGUGAAGUCA